AUUGAACGCUGGCGGCAUGCCUUACACAUGCAAGUCGAACGGUAACAGGUCUUCGGAUGCUGACGAGUGGCGAACGGGUGAGUAAUACAUCGGAACGUGCCCGAUCGUGGGGGAUAACGAAGCGAAAGCUUUGCUAAUACCGCAUAAGAUCUAAGGAUGAAAGCAGGGGACCGCAAGGCCUUGCGCGAACGGAGCGGCCGAUGGCCGAUUAGGUAGUUGGUGGGAUAAAAGCUUACCAAGCCGACGAUCUGUAGCUGGUCUGAGAGGACGACCAGCAGCACUGGGAUUGAGACACGGCCCAGACUCCUACGGGAGGCAGCAGUGGGGAAUUUUGGACAAUGGGCGAAAGCCUGAUCCAGCCAUGCCGCGUGCAGGAUGAAGGCCUUCGGGUUGUAAGCUGCUUUUGUACGGAACGAAAAGACUCUUUCUAAUAAAGAGGGUCCAUGACGGUACCGUAAGAAUAAGCACCGGCUAACUACGUGCCAGCCGCCGCAGUAA
rnacentral:rRNA from 1 species